UACGUAGGGGCGUAGCGUUGUCCGGAAUCAUUGGGCGUAAAGGGUGCGUAGGCGGCGCGGUAAGUCGGCUGUGAAAUUCCGAGGCUCAACCUCGGAACUGCAGUCGAUACUAUUGUGACUAGAGUCCGGUAGAGGAGAAUGGAAUUCCCGGUGUAGCGGUGAAAUGCGCAGAUAUCGGGAGGAACACCAGUAGCGAAGGCGGUUCUCUGGGCCGGUACUGACGCUGAGGAGCGAAAGCGUGGGGAGCAAACAGG
rnacentral:rRNA from 1 species